AGUAGAGUGUGCUUGCUCCUUCUGUUGAUGGACCCCGACUUGUUAAAAAUGACUACAGAACAAGCCAAGUGGUUUAAAUGGUGCAGAUUUGCAAGCAUCAAACAACCAUUCUGUUCUAGAUAAGGUUUGUCUACUUGAGUACUCUUUGGAACCUGUUAUUGUUGAGGAUUAAUUUGUUACGCUUGCACCUUUUGAAUUUACAUAUACAAUACCCAUAACUUGAUGUGUAUCAUUGUAUCCUAGAACAAAGAAAAUAUGGUUCAUAAUGGUGGCAGUGCACGACCACUAGAAAAAUGUUCUGCUGCACACAAGGUAUCUUCAUAGUCUCAUAUACAAAAUUAUGAUCACACUAUAGUGCUCCCAUGUUUAUGUGUUUACUUGUUGCUAUCAGAAUGUUAUCCAGAACAAAGAAACUUUUGAUUAGAAUUUUAGUGCACGGCAAGGGGAAAUAAAUUCCGUUGCACAUAAGGUAUAUUUGCAUUACCAUAUACACACAGUAUUUUCAAUAUAUAUUGCUUCGAUGGUUAUUAUGUAUCUACUGGUCGUCUUGCUAUCAGACUGAUGUUGAGAACAAAGAAACUUUGCUUGAGAAUGUCAGCACACGCCAGGGAAAACUUAUACUGCAAACAAGCAGGUAUCUUUUCAUAAUCACAUACAAAUUUGUGUGCAAACUAUAGUAUUAGCUUGUUUAUUUGUUUAUUACUUCUUCUUUGCCAUCAUACUAUUGUCCGGAGCAAAAAAAGAACAAAACGUGCUAAUGUAUGCAGUAAGACUGCACAAAGUGGAUUGCUGAGUUGGUUGGGUGUUGUGAACUAUUUGUAAGAGUGCUCAAAUUCAUUUCAUAUGUUCCCUUGUUUUGUUUUUGUUUUUUCAUGGGUGAUGAGGAUGAUUCUUCCAAUGGUAACUUUGAUUUUCUCUAACAGGUAUGAACUAAAGUAUUGUUGAAGAGCCUGAAAAAGGAUGUAGCUCUUUCUACAACUGUAAGUUAUGAUCCUAAAUUCAAACAUGAUGGUGCUGAAAUUAUAAAAGAAUUUUCUGCUGUGCAUAUUGAUGUGGCACUUGUGAAAACUGAAUUUGGUAUGGAGAUGCAAAAACUGCCAUACUCUUGCUAAUGUAGAAAAAAAAACAAAGCUUGCAUGGCAUUCAACCUUUGUACGUGACUAAUAUCUUGCCUCUAUUACUACUUGCAUCAUGUCAAUGCAUUGUGUUAACAGUUCAUUUUGUUUUAUUGUUUGUAGAUUCAAGAGAUAAAUGGACGAGUAUAUGGGUGCGUGGCAAGUAUACUGCAAUGGUGAUGUCAAUGUUUCGGGUCAUGUUGAUGAUGAUGAUGGAUGCUUUGAGUUUCGUUUAUGUUGUAGGAAUGGCAGUCCUGCUGGAUGUUUUUCCUCGGUUAAAUUUUAGUUAAGUUUUCGGGAUGUUGAUGGAUGCUAUCAGUUUAAGUUUUGCUGUCAAGAAAAUAGAUAGAUUAUGCAUCACAUUUGGAUGAUGUUCCUCUUGUAAUAUCCACUAUUGUAAUCCAACAAUUUUAUCUAAUAUAUGAUUUCUUACUCUUGUGAGUAUAUUCUCUUGUUUUUCGUUCACUUGAAAAAC
rnacentral:lncRNA from 1 species